CCAUCUCCCUCAGUCACGACGACCACUCCCAGUCUGUGCUUCUUUUACAGAAUUUUAGAUCCGUAACACAAUGAGAGUUCUAGAAUGUAUGUUCCUCCUAGCUCUCAUCUCAGCUGUUCAGGGACAGUCACUCACCUCCUCUGAGCCAGUAGUGAAGAAACCUGGAGAGUCAGUAACACUGUCAUGUACUGUGUCUGGACUAGCCCUGAGCUGGUUACACUGGAUCCGUCAGAAACCAGGGAAAGGUCUAGAGUGGAUUGGGCGCAUUGACAGUGGCACUGGCACUGUAUUUGCCCAGUCCCUCCAGGGCCAGUUCACCAUCACCAAAGACAACUCUAAAGACCAGCUGUACUUAGAGGUGAAAAGUCUGAAGACUGAAGACUCUGCUGUUUAUUAUUGUGCCAGAGACACAGUGACACAGGAGGCUGCAGCACCGUACAAAAACUGAUCAACACUGAUCACAGUGUGAGAGGCGCAUCGUUUGUUUAAACACACACACUACAACACUGUCCACUGAUAUCAAUGUUAUCCACAUAAAACAUUCACACACAUUAUGAACAGUGAAAAGCACACUAUUUACAUGAACACAGAAGUGCAUUUUUUGCAACUCAGACUUCAUAUUAGCUAUUCUUUUUUGAACAUCUUUAUCGGACAGAAAUAUAUUCAUGUGAUGUCAAAUAACCAACAGUAUCAAUAAUACAUGUGGUCAUUUAGUAAAAUUAUUAUCAAUGUCAA